ACUGCGAAUGGCUCAUUAAAUCAGUUAUCGUUUAUUUGAUAGUACCUUACUACUUGGAUAACCGUGGUAAUUCUAGAGCUAAUACAUGCUAAAAACCCCGACUUCGGGAGGGGUGUAUUUAUUAGAUAAAAAACCAACGCCCUUCGGGGCUUCUUGGUGAUUCAUGAUAACUUAACGAAUCGCAUGGCCUUGCGCCGGCGAUGGUUCAUUCAAAUUUCUGCCCUAUCAACUUUCGAUGGUAGGAUAGUGGCCUACCAUGGUAUCAACGGGUAACGGGGAAUUAGGGUUCUAUUCCGGAGAGGGAGCCUGAGAAACGGCUACCACAUCCAAGGAAGGCAGCAGGCGCGCAAAUUACCCAAUCCCGACACGGGGAGGUAGUGACAAUAAAUACUGAUACAGGGCUCUUUUGGGUCUUGUAAUUGGAAUGAGUACAAUUUAAAUCCCUUAACGAGGAACAAUUGGAGGGCAAGUCUGGUGCCAGCAGCCGCGGUAAUUCCAGCUCCAAUAGCGUAUAUUAAAGUUGUUGCAGUUAAAAAGCUCGUAGUUGAACCUUGGGCCUGGCUGGCCGGUCCGCCUCACCGCGUGCACUGGUCCGGCCGGGCCUUUCCUUCUGGGGAGCCGCAUGCCCUUCACUGGGUGUGUCGGGGAACCAGGACUUUUACUUUGAAAAAAUUAGAGUGUUCAAAGCAGGCCUUUGCUCGGAUACAUUAGCAUGGAAUAAUAGAAUAGGACGUGCGGUCCUAUUUUGUUGGUUUCUAGGACCGCCGUAAUGAUUAAUAGGGAUAGUCGGGGGCAUCAGUAUUCAAUUGUCAGAGGUGAAAUUCUUGGAUUUAUUGAAGACUAACUACUGCGAAAGCAUUUGCCAAGGAUGUUUUCAUUAAUCAGUGAACGAAAGUUAGGGGAUCGAAGACGAUCAGAUACCGUCGUAGUCUUAACCGUAAACUAUGCCGACUAGGGAUCGGGCGAUGUUAUCAUUUUGACUCGCUCGGCACCUUACGAGA
rnacentral:rRNA from 1 species